CAACACAGAAGUGGACACAGAAAUUGGCUUUACCCUUUUUAUUAUUAUUGGAAUUCAUUAGAACUUAUUGAUACCCAAUCUGGAUCUCAGAUUUUACAAGUUUGUAAAUGUGAUACCCUGGGGAAUAUCUCACCAGGACAUAUCUACUAAGCUCUGACACUGGAUUGCAUAUUAUUAUUUUAUUGGUAUUUAUAUAGCGCCAACUUAUUCUGCUGCACUUUACAAUAUUACAAAAGUGGGAACUUUAAAAAUAAAUGAGGCAAUCAGAAAUAAUUAUAAUUACAAAAUGUUACAGGUAAAUAGGUUGGUGAGAGAACCCUGCUCAAAGGAGGUUAGAGUCUAGAGGAGGGGGAUAAAUAAACUUUCACUUAUAGACUUUUAUUUUUAUAUUUUACACCAUUAAAUGACAUGGUAACCAGCCCUAAAUACAUGUUGUAUUGUGUUUUAAUCUAGGAAAGAGAGAGUGGUCCCUAAAUGAAUGCUAAAGCUCUUUUUUCCCCAGGAACACCUUUUAUUUCUAACAAGCAUUGCCUGUUUGUGUUUUCUCUAAGCCUGCUUUAAUAAAAACAGUUUUACAGCUGUCAAUUUGGAUAAUAUAGCUAAGGUUCCACCUUAGUAAUCACUGUCUUUGUCUGUUUCCUCAAACAAUAACCCAAACUAGAAAUAUCACAUUCCAUAGCCUGGUUGUAGGCAAAUAUGAGCCAUUACAUGCAGACUUUGGUCACCCAGAGCCUGCACCCUAACCUAACACUGUUGAAUGCAGAAUUGUAUCUCAUGGUUGAGCUGAGUUACUUUAACCCCUUAAGGACCCAUGACAUGUGUGACAUGUCAUGAUUGCCUUUUAUUCCAGAAGUUUGGUCCUUAAGGGGUUAAAGGAAUAUUCUAAGCAGGUUGCAGUGGUUAGAGUUCUUGGAGUAUUCCUUGAGACGUAUUCAUUUUGCAUCCUCAUUUUAGAGUCAGAAAUGCUUUAUUGAAAUUAAAUUUUUUGGUGAAGACAUUGAGAGCUGAACUGAAAUUGUUAGGUCAAAGAAAAUAUUUAAAGUGGACAAAUGUUAUUUGAUUAGUAAACAGACUCAGAUAGUCUGUUUGGACAUAUAUUGACUACUUCAAUUACACACCAUCUGUUCCAUCAGUCUAUUACAGACAGUGAUUCAGUACUAUUGAAUUACUUUUACAAGUUUCAACUCGAUUGAGCACAUUUAUGUUUUUAUUGAUUUUAGUAGUGUGCAGCCAUGUUAGAGUGUUGUUGCCCCCCUUGUGGGUGCCCUUGUAAGAGUUAACUAGUUUGUAGGGGUUUAUAAAAAUACUCCUUUCUGACAUAUUACAUUUUAACAUUAACUUUGGCAGGUGAUCUUACACUUUAUUGGCCACUGCAGAUACUAAAAGCCUCUAUUAUUUAAAUGUGUUUAGGGAUUUCAGAUUGUGUGAAAGUAAUCUUUUUUUUGGUGAGGUUUUGAAAGGACUGAUAAAUCUCUGUGGAUAGUUGCAGUGAGAGCUUUUCUAAGCCUCUCUUUUAACCCCUUAAGGACUAAACUUCUGGAAUAAAAGGGAAUCAUGACAUGUCACAUGUCCUUAAGGGGUUAAAUGUACUCAACUCACCUUUUAAUCUAACCUAUCUAGGCACAUGGCAGAACAUCAACAAUCCUUACAUACCUUCAUUGUGUACCAAUAAAAGCCUCAACAUGCACACACUGACAUACAUGUUGAAAGCUUCUACGACCCUUGGAUCUCUCACCAGAGACUAAAUGAUAAAUUAGAAUCCAUCAUUGGGUCUUGACAAAGUUCACUCUUACCAAAGUGUUUGCCUAGCCUUGAUAUUCAUACACUCUAUGCCACAAGUCUCUUGCUUGUGCUUAGCAGGGGUUAAUUCAGACCGACACAUAAUAACAGCAAGUAAUACAUAGCACAGUAAGGCACAGAAACAUAAUAAUAAAACACAGACUCAGAUGUGUGCUGAAAAGGCUGUGGUCUUUUAUUUAGUUAACAAAUUAAACAAACUUAACUUAUUUAGUUUAAAACAUGUAAUUUGUAAUCAAACAUCUCCGGUCUUUAAAACCCCAGAGAUUCAACAUAUAACUCACCAGAGUUCCGCCCUAUCAGCCAGAACUUAAACAAAAUGAUAAAGAAACUCAGCUGGUCCACCCUCCAUUUAAAUUAGGCAGGUGACCUCAACCCCAAUAAAAGACCACGACAAUUGAACUUUAGGGAGGGAGGUCGGGGAAAAACAGCUCUACAGUUAACUUUUUCUUCUGGCGCCAAAUAUCACCUCAGGACGCCUUAUAUAUAGCGUUUUCCCGCUCCAGAGAGCCCUUGCGGACAAGCGCUCCAAUCAGAGCACUGUCCGCAUGGACCCCUGCAUGGAAAGGUCAUGAGAGCAUCGCAAAAGACGUUACCGAUGCACUCGCGACUAAUAGCAAUGCCCGCCACACCCCGACCCCUGAAUAACCCCAUUACGCACAUGUGUCAAUUGACAAGGUACAUUAUUUUGCUCUGAAUGCUAUUGGUGGAUUUUGUUAUGUUUAGAAGUUUAUUCUUUUUAAAUAUGUUCUUUGACCCCGAUAUGCACAGCUGAUAUGGUUGUCUCUCACUCCACUAGUCUGUUUAAGCUAGUUGUUUCUCAGUGUUUAGAUUUGUUUUGUUUGUUAUGGUUUAUGCUCAGUGCUUGGAUAUGUUUUUUUUUCAUAAAUCCAUAGCUGAUAAGUCCAGUGAUUACUGUUACUUUACUAACAAUAAAAAUUGGUGACUCUGUAC
rnacentral:lncRNA from 1 species